rnacentral:misc_RNA from 1 species
CUUUUCUUUUCUUUUCUUUUCUUGUCUUGUGCGGCUGGCUGGGUAAGUGCUACCAUUUUCAGUGUAAAAGGUUUGUUCCCCCUGGAAGAAAAAAGAAAAGAAAAAAGGUAGAGAUAUGUCAGGUUUAUAUAAUCCCAACUUUUCACCUGCCAGAGCUGCUUCUCCCCAGAUUAGAAGUACACCAGAUGUUGACAGUAAUCACUACUUGUCAGAGCUGUUGGCGGAACAUCAAAAGCUUGGACCUUUUAUGCAAGUUCUUCCUAUAUGUAGCAGACUCUUGAAUCAAGAGAUUUUAAGGGUUUCCGGAAUGCUGCCGAACCAAGGAUUUGGUGAACUAGACAGAUUGCGACAUAGAAGUCCCAGUCCUAUGGGUUCAGCAAACCUUAUGUCAAAUGUUACUGGAGCAGGAUUGAGUGGUUGGAAUGGACUUCCCCAGGAGAGGUUGAGUGGACCUCCUGGAAUGUCAAUGGACUGGCAAGGGGCCCCAGCAAGUCCUAGUUCGUACACUGUGAAAAGAAUAUUGCGGUUAGAAAUUCCAGUCGACACUUAUCCAAAUUUUAAUUUUGUUGGGCGACUUCUUGGCCCCCGAGGGAAUUCAUUGAAACGGGUGGAAGCUACCACAGGAUGCCGUGUUUUUAUUAGAGGAAAAGGCUCGAUAAAAGAUCCAGACAAGGAGGAGAAACUAAGGGGAAGACCAGGAUAUGAGCACCUGAAUGAACCACUCCACAUUUUAAUUGAAGCUGAUUUGCCAGCCAGCGUUGUGGAUAUUAGAUUGAGACAGGCACAGGAAAUCAUAGAGGAGUUGCUCAAGCCGGUGGAUGAAUCAGAGGACUAUAUAAAGAGACAGCAAUUGCGUGAACUGGCGAUGCUAAAUUCAAAUUUCAGGGAAGAGAGCCCUGGACCAAGU